GGUUAAGUUAGAAAGGGCGCACGGUGGAUGCCUUGGCACUAGGAGCCGAAGAAGGACGGGACUAACACCGAUAUGCUUUGGGGAGCUGUACGUAAGCGUUGAUCCAGAGAUUUCCGAAUGGGGGAACCCACUAUCUUUAGUCGGAUAGUAUCCUUACGUGAAUACAUAGCGUGAGGAAGGCAGACCCAGGGAACUGAAACAUCUAAGUACCUGGAGGAAGAGAAAGAAAAAUCGAUUUCCUGAGUAGCGGCGAGCGAAACGGAAAGAGCCCAAACCAAGAAGCUUGCUUCUUGGGGUUGUAGGACACUCUAUACGGAGUUACAAAAGAAAGUUAUAAAUGAAGCGGUCUGGAAAGGCCCGCCAAAGACGGUAACAGCCCGGUAGUUGAAAUAGCUUUCCCUCCAGAGUGGAUCCUGAGUACGGCGGACCACGUGAAAUUCCGUCGGAAUCCGGGAGGACCAUCUCCCAAGGCUAAAUACUCCCUAGUGACCGAUAGUGAACCAGUACCGUGAGGGAAAGGUGAAAAGCACCCCGGAAGGGGAGUGAAACAGUUCCUGAAACCGUGUGCCUACAAGUAGUUAGAGCCCGUUAAUGGGUGAUAGCGUGCCUUUUGUAGAAUGAACCGGCGAGUUACGAUUUGUUGCAAGGUUAAGCGGAAAAAGCGGAGCCGUAGCGAAAGCGAGUCUGAAUAGGGCGCAUAAGUAACAGGUCGUAGACCCGAAACCAGGUGAUCUACCCAUGUCCAGGAUGAAGGUAAGGUAAUACUUACUGGAGGUCCGAACCCACGCACGUUGAAAAGUGCGGGGAUGAGGUGUGGGUAGCGGAGAAAUUCCAAUCGAACUUGGAGAUAGCUGGUUCUCUCCGAAAUAGCUUUAGGGCUAGCCUCGAGGUAAAGAGUCAUGGAGGUAGAGCACUGUUUGGACUAGGGGCCCUUCUCGGGUUACCGAAUUCAGAUAAACUCCGAAUGCCAUGUACUUAUACUCGGGAGUCAGACUGCGAGUGAUAAGAUCCGUAGUCGAAAGGGAAACAGCCCAGACCACCAGUUAAGGUCCCCAAAGAUAUGUUAAGUGGAAAAGGAUGUGGGGUUGCUUAGACAACCAGGAUGUUGGCUUAGAAGCAGCCACCAUUGAAAGAGUGCGUAAUAGCUCACUGGUCGAGUGACCCCGCGCCGAAAAUGUACCGGGGCUAAACAUAUUACCGAAACUGUGGAUGAACCUCUUUAGAGGUUCGUGGUAGGAGAGCGUUCUAAGGGCGGUGAAGUCAGACCGGAAGGACUGGUGGAGCGCUUAGAAGUGAGAAUGCCGGUAUGAGUAGCGAAAGAAGGGUGAGAAUCCCUUCCACCGAAUAUCUAAGGUUUCCUGAGGAAGGCUCGUCCGCUCAGGGUUAGUCGGGACCUAAGCCGAGGCCGAUAGGCGUAGGCGAUGGACAACAGGUAGAGAUUCCUGUACCAGUGCUAAUUGUUUAACCGCUGGGGUGACACAGAAGGAUAGGGAAUCGCACGAAUGGAAAUGUGCGUCCAAGCAGUGAGUGUGAGAAGUAGGCAAAUCCGCUUCUCGCGAAGCAUGAGCUGUGAUGGGGAAGGAAAUUAAGUACGGAAGUUCCUGAUUUCACGCUGUCAAGAAAAGCCUCUAGGAAGAGUAGUACUGCCCGUACCGCAAACCGACACAGGUAGAUGAGGAGAGAAUCCUAAGGUGAGCGAGAGAACUCUCGUUAAGGAACUCGGCAAAAUGACCCCGUAACUUCGGGAGAAGGGGUGCUCUAUUAGGGUGCAAGCCCGAGAGAGCCGCAGUGAAUAGGCCCAGGCGACUGUUUAGCAAAAACACAGGUCUCUGCAAAACCGUAAGGUGACGUAUAGGGGCUGACGCCUGCCCGGUGCUGGAAGGUUAAGAGGAGUGCUUAGCUUCGGCGAAGGUACGAAUUGAAGCCCCAGUAAACGGCGGCCGUAACUAUAACGGUCCUAAGGUAGCGAAAUUCCUUGUCGGGUAAGUUCCGACCCGCACGAAAGGCGCAACGAUCUGGGCACUGUCUCAACGAGAGACUCGGUGAAAUUAUAGUACCUGUGAAGAUGCAGGUUACCCGCGACAGGACGGAAAGACCCCGUGGAGCUUUACUGCAACCUGAUAUGGAAUGUUUGUACCGCUUGUACAGGAUAGGUAGGAGCCGAAGAGACGUGUGCGCUAGCAUACGAGGAGGCAAUGGUGGGAUACUACCCUGGCUGUAUGACCAUUCUAACCCGCCACGCUUAGCGCGUGGGGAGACAGUGUCAGGUGGGCAGUUUGACUGGGGCGGUCGCCUCCUAAAGAGUAACGGAGGCGCCCAAAGGUUCCCUCAGAAUGGAUGGAAAUCAUUCGCAGAGUGUAAAGGCACAAGGGAGCUUGACUGCGAGACUGACA
rnacentral:rRNA from 1 species